rnacentral:rRNA from 1 species
AUUGAACGCUGGCGGCAUGCCUUACACAUGCAAGUCGAACGGCAGCAUGAUCUCGCUUGCUAGAUUGAUGGCGAGUGGCGAACGGGUGAGUAAUACAUCGGAACGUGCCCUGUAGUGGGGGAUAACUAGUCGAAAGAUUAGCUAAUACCGCAUACGACCUGAGGGUGAAAGUGGGGGACCGCAAGGCCUCAUGCUAUAGGAUCGGCCGAUGUCUGAUUAGCUAGCUGGUGAGGUACAGGCUCACCAAGGCGACGAUCAGUAGCUGGUCUGAGAGGACGAUCAGCCACACUGGGAGUGAGACACGGCCCAGACUCCUACGGGAGGCAGCAGUGGGGAAUUUUGCACAAUGGGCGGGAGCCUGAUCCAGCAAUGCCGCGUGUGUGAAGAAGGCCUUCGGGUUGUAAAGCACUUUUGUCCGUAAAGAAAUGGCUCUGGUUAAUACCUGGGGUCGAUGACGGUACCGGAAGAAUAAGGACCGGCUAACUACGUG